rnacentral:tRNA from 1 species
CAGAAGAUAAUUUAUUUAAAAUAUUAACAUUGGAAGUUAAAAAUUAAGUGUUGACUUAUCUUUUGA